UGGGGAAUAUUGGACAAUGGGCGCAAGCCUGAUCCAGCCAUGCCGCGUGAGUGAAGAAGGCCUUAGGGUUGUAAAGCUCUUUCACCUGCGAAGAUGAUGACGGUAGCAGGAGAAGAAGCCCCGCCUAACUCCGUGCCAGCAGCCGCGGUAAUACGGAGGGGGCUAGCGUUGUCCGGAAUUAUUGGGCGUAAAGAGCGUGUAGGCGGCUUGGUAAGUCUGCUGUGAAACCUUGGGGCUCAACCCCAAGCGUGCAGUGGAUACUGUCAAGCUAGAGGAUGGUAGAGGCCAGUGGAAUUCCCAGUGUAGCGGUGAAAUGCGCAGAUAUUGGGAGGAACACCAGUAGCGAAGGCGGCUGGCUGGGCCAUUCCUGACGCUGAGACGCGAAAGCUAGGGGAGCGAACAGGAUUAGAUACCCCCGUAGUCC
rnacentral:rRNA from 1 species